rnacentral:rRNA from 1 species
CCACAUUGGGACUGAGACACGGCCCAGACUCCUACGGGAGGCAGCAGUGGGGAAUAUUGCACAAUGGGGGAAACCCUGAUGCAGCGACGCCGCGUGGAGGAAGAAGGUCUUCGGAUUGUAAACUCCUGUUGUUGAGGAAGAUAAUGACGGUACUCAACAAGGAAGUGACGGCUAACUACGUGCCAGCAGCCGCGGUAAAACGUAGGUCACAAGCGUUGUCCGGAAUUACUGGGUGUAAAGGGAGCGCAGGCGGGAAGACAAGUUGGAAGUGAAAUCCAUGGGCUCAACCCAUGAACUGCUUUCAAAACUGUUUUUCUUGAGUAGUGCAGAGGUAGGCGGAAUUCCCGGUGUAGCGGUGGAAUGCGUAGAUAUCGGGAGGAACACCAGUGGCGAAGGCGGCCUACUGGGCACCAACUGACGCUGAGGCUCGAAAGUGUGGGUAGCAAACAGGAUUAGAUACCCUGGUAGUCCACACCGUAAACGAUGAUUACUAGGUGUUGGAGGAUUGACCCCUUCAGUGCCGCAGUUAACACAAUAAGUAAUCCACCUGGGGAGUACGACCGCAAGGUUGAAACUCAAAGGAAUUGACGGGGGCCCGCACAAGCAGUGGAGUAUGUGGUUUAAUUCGACGCAACGCGAAGAACCUUACCAAGUCUUGACAUCCUGCGACGCACAUAGAAAUAUGUGUUUCCUUCGGGACGCAGAGACAGGUGGUGCAUGGUUGUCGUCAGCUCGUGUCGUGAGAUGUUGGGUUAAGUCC